AACAGAAUGCCUGAUUAAAGGGUUAUUUUGAUAGAAUAAAUUAUGUAAUUUUAUUACUUCUGUUA
rnacentral:tRNA from 1 species